rnacentral:lncRNA from 1 species
GUGUCAAGAACAUGUACUUAGUGUUAAAAGAUGAUUACUUUUGAAUACUUAUAUUCUUGUGUUUUAACUUCCUAAAUCCCUAAACAAACACAUUCAACCUUCUAACCUCAUCAACUUCGUCACAUUGGAUAAUCGGAAAGCAUAUGCAAAUUUGUUGAGGAUUGAUGAUGCUACGAAAAUGGAUUAGCAAAGAUGCCUAGAUACUCAUUUAGACGUUUAAGUUUAAAGUGUUGUGUAAAUUUUGUUAUGUUAUGUUGAACAAUGUUAUUAUUUGAAUAUCUU